CGUGUAGGCGGGAAGAUAAGUCAGAUGUGAAAUUCCAUGGCUCAACUGUGGCGCUGCAUCUGAAACUAUUUUUCUUGAGUGAUGGAGAGGAAAGCGGAAUUCCUAGUGUAGCGGUGAAAUGCGUAGAUAUUAGGAGGAACACCAGUGGCGAAGGCGGCUUUCUGGACAUUAACUGACGCUGAGGCGCGAAAGCGUGGGGAGCAAACAGGAUUAGAUACCCUGGUAGUCCACGCUGUAAACGAUGGAUACUAGGUGUAGGAGGUAUCGACCCCUUCUGUGCCGGAGUUAACACAAUAAGUAUCCCACCGUGGGGAGUACGGCCGCAAGGUUGAA
rnacentral:rRNA from 1 species